GCCACAUAAAAACUUACAUUUUAUGAAUCUAGCAUCUGUGGUCCACGUCUUCUGCUUCCCAAAAUUCUAAAAGGCAACAAGAGUUAGAAUAGGAUACAAAUGGGUCAGAUCAGGAUACAAAUGCAUUUAUUCUGAUGAUUCACAAAUUAUAAGGUUUACAUAUGAAAAGAUGUUGUUUUUUUAUUCAAGUGCUAGCCAACGCAAAAAAGGUAUGUA